rnacentral:rRNA from 1 species
AUUCUAUUUUAAAUGGCCGCGGUAUUUUGACCGUGCAAAGGUAGCAUAAUCAUUAGUUCAUUAAUUGUGUACUUGUAUGAAUGGUUGUAUGAAAUAUUAACUGUCUCUAUAAUAUUAAUAUAAUUUAACUUUUUAGUUAAAAGGCUUAAAUUUAUUUAUGGGACGAGAAGACCCUAUAGAUCUUUAUUUAUUAUAUUAUUUAUUUAUUUGGAUUAAUUUUAUUUGAAUUAUUUAUUUAAUUGUUGGGGUGACAUUGGGAUAUAAAAAACUCUUUAUUUUUUUUACAUUAAUUUAUGUUUUAUUAAUUUUUUAUUAUUUUAUUUAGAAUUAGAUACCUUAGGGAUAACAGCGUAAUUUAAUUUGAGAGUUCUUAUUGACAAUUAAGAUUGCGACCUCGAUGUUGGAUUAAGAAAUAUUUUUGGUGUAGAAGUUUUAAUAAUUGGGUCUGUUCGACCUUUAAUUUCUUACA